GCCGGCGUGGUGAAAUGGCAGACACGGUAGACUCAAAAUCUACUGCUAGCGAUAGCGUAUCGGUUCAAGUCCGAUCGCCGGCA
rnacentral:tRNA from 1 species